rnacentral:rRNA from 1 species
UACAGAGGGUGCGAGCGUUGUCCGGAAUCACUGGGCGUAAAGGGCGCGUAGGUGGCGCGACAAGUCAGUGGUGAAAGCUCGACGCUCAACGUCGAGUCGGCCACUGAGACUGUUGGGCUUGAGCACUGUAGGGGCAGAUGGAAUUCCGGGUGUAGCGGUGGAAUGCGUAGAGAUCCGGAAGAACACCGGUGGCGAAGGCGGUCUGCUGGGCAGUAGCUGACACUGAGGCGCGACAGCGUGGGGAGCAAACAGG